rnacentral:misc_RNA from 1 species
AGAUAUGGAAAAUUUUCAAAACUUAUCUCAUUACUAAGAAUCCUAUUGGAAUACAGUUUUUCCCCAAUUAUAUUGUCUGGGCAAAAGUCAUUGGUACUAAUUUUCCUAAAUAGGUUUUAGUUGAUGAUAAGCAGGGAGAACCCAUAACAAUCAUGGCUUGCCUACAACAACAUCCUCUUUAACUGAUGUUGGCUGGGAGCUUCCUAACAUGAUUAAACAU